rnacentral:rRNA from 1 species
UAGGGAAUCUUCGGCAAUGGACGAAAGUCUGACCGAGCAACGCCGCGUGAGUGAAGAAGGUUUUCGGAUCGUAAAACUCUGUUGUUAGAGAAGAACAAGGACGUUAGUAACUGAACGUCCCCUGACGGUAUCUAACCAGAAAGCCACGGCUAACUACGUGCCAGCAGCCGCGGUAAUACGUAGGUGGCAAGCGUUGUCCGGAUUUAUUGGGCGUAAAGCGAGCGCAGGCGGUUUCUUAAGUCUGAUGUGAAAGCCCCCGGCUCAACCGGGGAGGGUCAUUGAAAACUGGGAGACUUGAGUGCAGAAGAGGAGAGUGGAAUUCCAUGUGUAGCGGUGAACUGCGUAGAUAUAUGGAGGAACACCAGUGGCGAAGGCGGCUCUCUGGUCUAUAACUGACGCUGAGGCACGAAAGCGUGGGGAGCAAACAGG